AGUCUUUCAAAAUACCAUCUUUGCCCUUAUAUUAAGAAUGUUGGGAAACCAACUAUGGUAAUAAACGUUGUGCUUAUUACCCGUUACGGACCCGGGGGCAGUACCCGGCACCUCCACCAUUUCCAAACAUGACGCAUAGUCUUUGGGGGUGAAAUAGGAUCGACGAGCGGGGAGUGGUAUAAUUUUUACUCGUUAUGGUUCCACCGUUAUUGGGCCAAACAAUAAGUGCAAACAAUAAAUACGCACUAGCUGCCUAGUUUUAGGCUAGCGCGGUUUGGAGGGCGCCGGGCAACAGAAGCCCUCCGCU
rnacentral:tmRNA from 1 species